UGGGGAAUAUUGGACAAUGGGCGCAAGCCUGAUCCAGCCAUGCCGCGUGGAUGAUGAAGGCCUUAGGGUUGUAAAGUCCUUUCGGCGGGGAAGAUAAUGACGGUACCCGCAGAAGAAGCCCCGGCUAACUUCGUGCCAGCAGCCGCGGUAAUACGAAGGGGGCUAGCGUUGCUCGGAAUCACUGGGCGUAAAGCGCACGUAGGCGGCUUUUAAGUCAGGGGUGAAAUCCUGGAGCUCAACUCCAGAACUGCCUUUGAUACUGAGAAGCUUGAGUCCGGGAGAGGUGAGUGGAACUGCGAGUGUAGAGGUGAAAUUCGUAGAUAUUCGCAAGAACACCAGUGGCGAAGGCGGCUCACUGGCCCGGUACUGACGCUGAGGUGCGAAAGCGUGGGGAGCAAACAGGAUUAGAUACCCCUGUAGUCCCUGAGCGGGCUGGCAAGGCGCAU
rnacentral:rRNA from 1 species